UAAGAAACUCGCAGUGUA
rnacentral:siRNA from 1 species